rnacentral:rRNA from 1 species
ACGAACGCUGGCGGCACGCUUAACACAUGCAAGUCGAACGAGAGAAGAGAAGCUUGCUUUUCUGAUCUAGUGGCGGACGGGUGAGUAACACGUGAGCAAUCUGCCUUUCAGAGGGGGAUACCGAUUGGAAACGAUCGUUAAUACCGCAUAAUAUAAUUGAACCGCAUGAUUUGAUUAUCAAAGAUUUAUCGCUGAAAGAUGAGCUCGCGUCUGAUUAGCUAGUUGGUAAGGUAACGGCUUACCAAGGCGACGAUCAGUAGCCGGACUGAGAGGUUGAUCGGCCACAUUGGGACUGAGACACGGCCCAGACUCCUACGGGAGGCAGCAGUGGGGAAUAUUGCACAAUGGAGGAAACUCUGAUGCAGCGAUGCCGCGUGAGGGAAGAAGGUUUUAGGAUUGUAAACCUCUGUCUUCAGGGACGAAAAAUGACGGUACCUGAGGAGGAAGCUCCGGCUAACUACGUGCCAGCAGCCGCGGUAAUACGUAGGGAGCGAGCGUUGUCCGGAAUUACUGGGUGUAAAGGGAGCGUAGGCGGGAUCGCAAGUCAGAUGUGAAAACUAUGGGCUUAACCCAUAAACUGCAUUUGAAACUGUGGUUCUUGAGUGAAGUAGAGGUAAGCGGAAUUCCUAGUGUAGCGGUGAAAUGCGUAGAUAUUAGGAGGAACAUCGGUGGCGAAGGCGGCUUACUGGGCUUUAACUGACGCUGAGGCUCGAAAGCGUGGGGAGCAAACAGGAUUAGAUACCCUGGUAGUCCACGCCGUAAACGAUGAUUACUAGGUGUGGGGGGACUGACCCCUUCCGUGCCGCAGCAAACGCAAUAAGUAAUCCACCUGGGGAGUACGACCGCAAGGUUGAAACUCAAAGGAAUUGACGGGGGCCCGCACAAGCAGUGGAGUAUGUGGAUUAAUUCGAAGCAACGCGAAGAACCUUACCAGGUCUUGACAUCGUAUGCAUAGCUCAGAGAUGAGUGAAAUCUCUUCGGAGACAUAUAGACAGGUGGUGCAUGGUUGUCGUCAGCUCGUGUCGUGAGAUGUUGGGUUAAGUCCCGCAACGAGCGCAACCCUUACUGUUAGUUGCUACGCAAGAGCACUCUAGCAGGACUGCCGUUGACAAAACGGAGGAAGGUGGGGAUGACGUCAAAUCAUCAUGCCCCUUAUGACCUGGGCCUCACACGUACUACAAUGGCUGUCAACAGAGGGAAGCAAAGCCGCGAGGUGGAGCAAACCCCUAAAAGCAGUCUUAGUUCGGAUUGUAGGCUGCAACCCGCCUACAUGAAGUCGGAAUUGCUAGUAAUCGCAGAUCAGCAUGCUGCGGUGAAUACGUUCCCGGGCCUUGUACACACCGCCCGUCACGCCAUGGGAGUCGGUAACACCCGAAGCCUGUAGUCUAACCGCAAGGAGGACGCAGUCGAAGGUGGGAUUGAUGACUGGGGUG